rnacentral:rRNA from 1 species
GUAGGUGGCAAGCGUUGUCCGGAAUUAUUGGGCGUAAAGCGCGCGCAGGCGGUUCUUUAAGUCUGAUGUGAAAGCCCACGGCUCAACCGUGGAGGGUCAUUUGGAAACUGGAGAACUUGAGUACAGAAGAGGAAAGCGGAAUUCCACGUGUAGCGGUGAAAUGCGUAGAGAUGUGGAGGAACACCAGUGGCGAAGGCGGCUUUCUGGUCUGUAACUGACGCUGAGGCGCGAAAGCGUGGGGAGCAAACAGGAUUAGAUACCCGUGGUAGUCCACGCCGUAAACGAUGAGUGCUAAGUGUUAGGGGGGUUUUACCCGCCCCCGUUAGUGCUGCAGCUAAACGCAUUAAGCACUCCGCCUGGGGAGUACGGCCGCAAGGCUG